rnacentral:rRNA from 1 species
GAUGAACGCUGGCGGCGUGCCUAAUACAUGCAAGUCGAGCGAACAGACGAGGAGCUUGCCCCUCUGACGUUAGCGGCGGACGGGUGAGUAACACGUGGAUAACCUACCUAUAAGACUGGGAUAACUUCGGGAAACCGGAGCUAAUACCGGAUAAUAUAUUGAACCGCAUGGUUCAUUAGUGAAAGACGGUUUUGCUGUCACUUAUAGAUGGAUCCGCGCCGUAUUAGCUAGUUGGUAAGGUAACGGCUUACCAAGGCAACGAUGCGUAGCCGACCUGAGAGGGUGAUCGGCCACACUGGAACUGAGACACGGUCCAGACUCCUACGGGAGGCAGCAGUAGGGAAUCUUCCGCAAUGGGCGAAAGCCUGACGGAGCAACGCCGCGUGAGUGAUGAAGGUCUUCGGAUCGUAAAACUCUGUUAUUAGGGAAGAACAAAUGUGUAAGUAACUAUGCACGUCUUGACGGUACCUAAUCAGAAAGCCACGGCUAACUACGUG